rnacentral:rRNA from 1 species
AAAUUGAAGAGUUUGAUCAUGGCUCAGAUUGAACGCUGGCGGCAGGCCUAACACAUGCAAGUCGAACGGUAACAGGAAGCAGCUUGCUGCUUCGCUGACGAGUGGCGGACGGGUGAGUAAUGUCUGGGAAACUGCCUGAUGGAGGGGGAUAACUACUGGAAACGGUGGCUAAUACCGCAUAACGUCGCAAGACCAAAGAGGGGGACCUUCGGGCCUCUUGCCAUCAGAUGUGCCCAGAUGGGAUUAGCUUGUUGGUGAGGUAACGGCUCACCAAGGCGACGAUCCCUAGCUGGUCUGAGAGGAUGACCAGCCACACUGGAACUGAGACACGGUCCAGACUCCUACGGGAGGCAGCAGUGGGGAAUAUUGCACAAUGGGCGCAAGCCUGAUGCAGCCAUGCCGCGUGUAUGAAGAAGGCCUUCGGGUUGUAAAGUACUUUCAGCGGGGAGGAAGGUGUUGUGGUUAAUAACCGCAGCAAUUGACGUUACCCGCAGAAGAAGCACCGGCUAACUCCGUGCCAGCAGCCGCGGUAAUACGGAGGGUGCAAGCGUUAAUCGGAAUUACUGGGCGUAAAGCGCACGCAGGCGGUCUGUCAAGUCGGAUGUGAAAUCCCCGGGCUCAACCUGGGAACUGCAUUCGAAACUGGCAGGCUUGAGUCUUGUAGAGGGGGGUAGAAUUCCAGGUGUAGCGGUGAAAUGCGUAGAGAUCUGGAGGAAUACCGGUGGCGAAGGCGGCCCCCUGGACAAAGACUGACGCUCAGGUGCGAAAGCGUGGGGAGCAAACAGGAUUAGAUACCCUGGUAGUCCACGCCGUAAACGAUGUCUACUUGGAGGUUGUGCCCUUGAGGCGUGGCUUCCGGAGCUAACGCGUUAAGUAGACCGCCUGGGGAGUACGGCCGCAAGGUUAAAACUCAAAUGAAUUGACGGGGGCCCGCACAAGCGGUGGAGCAUGUGGUUUAAUUCGAUGCAACGCGAAGAACCUUACCUGGUCUUGACAUCCACGGAAGAAUUCAGAGAUGGAUUUGUGCCUUCGGGAACCGUGAGACAGGUGCUGCAUGGCUGUCGUCAGCUCGUGUUGUGAAAUGUUGGGUUAAGUCCCGCAACGAGCGCAACCCUUAUCCUUUGUUGCCAGCGGUCCGGCCGGGAACUCAAAGGAGACUGCCAGUGAUAAACUGGAGGAAGGUGGGGAUGACGUCAAGUCAUCAUGGCCCUUACGACCAGGGCUACACACGUGCUACAAUGGCGCAUACAAAGAGAAGCGACCUCGCGAGAGCAAGCGGACCUCAUAAAGUGCGUCGUAGUCCGGAUUGGAGUCUGCAACUCGACUCCAUGAAGUCGGAAUCGCUAGUAAUCGUGGAUCAGAAUGCCACGGUGAAUACGUUCCCGGGCCUUGUACACACCGCCCGUCACACCAUGGGAGUGGGUUGCAAAAGAAGUAGGUAGCUUAACCUUCGGGAGGGCGCUUACCACUUUGUGAUUCAUGACUGGGGUGAAGUCGUAACAAGGUAACCGUAGGGGAACCUGCGGUUGGAUCACCUCCUUACCUGAAAGAA